GUCAAUAAUUGUUACGAUAGAACAUGAAGGCAACACGGUGUUUCAUAAAUUUUCAAUUGGGGCUUGUAUCGUGAGGAAGCUGCCAUGUCUGCACUUUUUAAAGCCAGAAAACCUCUAGGCUUGUGUCUCAACGGCUGCCGGAGUCUGUCUCAGCUGGCGGAGCUGCCGGAGACUCAUCAGUUAAUGAGGCAGACCUGCAGAGACUACGCAGACAGGGAGCUGACCCCCAUCGCUGGCAAACUGGACAAAGAGCAUGUUUACCCUGCUAAACAGAUAAAGGAGCUGGGGGCGAUGGGUGUGAUGGCCAUAGAGGUCCCAGAGGAGCUCGGCGGAGCAGGGAUGGACUACCUGGCCUACAGUUUGGCCAUGGAGGAAAUAAGCAGAGGCUGUGCCAGCACGGGCGUCGUGGUCUCCGUUAACAAUUCUCUCUACAUCGGGCCAGUUCUGAAAUUUGGCUCAGAAGAGCAGAAGAAGGAAUGGAUCACCCCAUUCACUACUGGAGAGAAGGUGGGCUGCUUUGCCCUCAGUGAGCCAGGAAACGGCAGCGAUGCAGGCGCCGCCUCCACCACGGCCCGGCAGGAGGGAGAGGAGUGGGUGCUGAACGGAACCAAAGCCUGGAUCACCAACAGCUGGGACGCCUCCGCUACGGUCGUGUUCGCCACCACAGACAAGAAACUCAAGCACAAGGGAAUCAGCGCCUUCCUCAUCCCCAUGCCGCACCCUGGACUUUCUCUGGGGAAAAAGGAGGACAAGCUGGGCAUCAAAGCCUCGUCCACUGCUAACAUCAUACUGGAGGACUGCAGAAUCCCUCUAAACAACAUGUUGGGGCCCCGCGGUGCUGGAUUCAAAAUUGCUAUGCAAACCCUGGACAGUGGACGGAUUGGCAUCGCAGCUCAGGCUCUCGGCAUCGCUCAGGCUUCUCUGGACUGCGCCGCCGACUACGCCCACAAGCGAACUGCAUUCGGCGCGCCCAUCGGCAAGCUGCAGGCGAUACAGUUCAAACUGGCAGACAUGGCGGUGGCAAUAGAGAGCGCUCGUCUGCUCACCUGGAAAGCUGCUAUUCUUCGAGAUGCAAAGAAACCCUUUACUAAGGAAGCAGCCAUGGCUAAACUGGCAGCGUCCGAGGCCGCCACUUUCUGCUCCCAUCAGGCCAUCCAGAUCCUGGGUGGGAUGGGUUACGUGGCAGACAUGCCCGCUGAGAGACACUACCGCGACGCUCGCAUCACAGAGAUCUACGAGGGCACCAGUGAGAUCCAGAGGCUGGUCAUCGCCGGUCAGAUAAUGAAGGAAUACCGGCUAUAGAUGCUCUUUUGGGUGUGACUUUGCCCCUAAUGGACACUUAAUUCUGGAUCAAAUGCAGUUUUACACUUUCUUCAGUGUUUAAAGGCCUUUAUGUUGAUGUGAGCUGAGGCUUGAAGAGAAGAUUCAGGUGGUUUGAACCCUGCAAGACCUCUACAGUCUCAUGUCUGCAAGAAAUUCUGGCAUUGAAUGAAACACACUGGAAGUUAACUAGGAGAAAAAUCUUCCUUGUUGCCUUAAGUAGGAAGUCAUACCUCAAAGUUUAACUGGCCAGGUCUCACAUAUAGGAAAUCAGGGCAUCCUUUCUCCAAGGUUCAUCUUUUCUAAAUGCAGUAAUUAAAAUAAUAUUUUAAUAUAGAUGUUUCUAAGAUAUGUUGACUUUCUGUGCAUCAUCCUGUUUGCCAAAGUAUUCCCAGAAUGCCUGCUCAGCGUUGUGCGUGCAUUUUAUUCUACUUUAGCAUAUCACUGAAAGGCAGCCGCUCAUCAUGUGCCAUUCAGAGGUUCCACCACCAGGGGGCUACAGAGUGCCUUCAUGCAUCUUGACCCAUUUCUGCAUUCUUCCAUCAGGACUGAUUGUGUAACAAGCAAACCGUGAUCACACCUGCACAUCAUCAGAAUGUUUAGUUCUCGGGGUGGCAAACGGAUGGCUGCGCUAAACGUGCUCUAAUGGAGACAGUUUUGGUUCAUUAUAUGAAGGUGUGUGAUGACGCACAACGUGCCGGCCUCACACAGCUGUCCACGCUCAGCAUGUACAUAUUUGGUUGUAAUUUAUUGCGUUCAGACGUUAGUAGAAAAAUAAAAACCUGCAAACCCACCA